AGCGAACGCUGGCGGCAGGCUUAACACAUGCAAGUCGAACGGGCAUCUUCGGAUUUCAGUGGCAGACGGGUGAGCAAAACGGGGGAACGCACCUUUCGGAUCGGCCUAACACAGGGAAAUUUGAGCUAAUACCGGAUACGCCCUCUUGGGGAAAGGUUGACUGCCGUAGGAUCGGUCCGCGUCUGAUUAGCUUGUUGGUGGGGUACCGGCCUACCAAGGCGACGAGCAGUAGCUGGUCUGAGCGGAUGAUCAGCCACACUGGGACUGAGGCACGGCCCAGACUCCUACGGAGGGCAGCAGUAGGGAGUAUUGGACGAUGGGCGCAAGCCUAGUCCAGCCAUGCCGCGUAAGUGAUGAAGGCCUUAGUGUUGUAAAUCUCUUUUGUCCGGGACGAUAGUGACGGUACCGGAAGAAUAAGCCCCGGCUAACUUCGUG
rnacentral:rRNA from 1 species